UUCUGAACCAAGCACCGCCGGGUAGAAUGAGUCGUUUGUUAAAAUAACGACAUCAUCGCUGGAUUUAUAAAGUCCUUCAUCUCCUAAACAUAUUGUACAUUUUAAAGUGAGUAAAAUCCAAAGGAAAACAAACAUAUUGUCGUCAUUGCUUUUCAACGUUGUAUGAAAAGGUUUGAUUGAUUGCAAAUCAUCUGCACGUCAGCUACAAUAAAUCUUCCGAAUUUUCAUUUUU
rnacentral:lncRNA from 1 species